rnacentral:rRNA from 1 species
GCCUAACACAUGCAAGUCGAACGAAGCCCUUACUUGAUUCUUCGGAUGAAAGUUUGGUGACUGAGUGGCGGACGGGUGAGUAACGCGUGGGUAACCUGCCCUGUACAGGGGGAUAACAGCUGGAAACGGCUGCUAAUACCGCAUAAGCGCACGAGGAGACAUCUCCUUGUGUGAAAAACUCCGGUGGUACAGGAUGGGCCCGCGUCUGAUUAGCUGGUUGGCAGGGUAACGGCCUACCAAGGCAACGAUCAGUAGCCGGUCUGAGAGGAUGAACGGNCACAUUGGAACUGAGACACGGUCCAAACUCCUACGGGAGGCAGCAGUGGGGAAUAUUGCACAAUGGGGGAAACCCUGAUGCAGCAACGCCGCGUGAGUGAAGAAGUAUUUCGGUAUGUAAAGCUCUAUCAGCAGGGAAGAUAAUGACGGUACCUGACUAAGAAGCUCCGGCUAAAUACGUGCCAGCAGCCGCGGUAAUACGUAUGGAGCAAGCGUUAUCCGGAUUUACUGGGUGUAAAGGGUGCGUAGGUGGCAGUGCAAGUCAGAUGUGAAAGGCCGGGGCUCAACCCCGGAGCUGCAUUUGAAACUGCUCGG